GAACUGGAGUCACUUGGUUUCUUUGUGAAGAAGAAAGAGUCAGUGUUCUGAGGAGCUGCCCAUGAGAAGCAAUAAGAAGGAAGGAGUCAUGGAGGUGUUUUUGGUGCAACACCAGGAAAGAAGCUGCAUGUCUACCAGAGUUAUUAUCUGUGUCUUUAACUACAUAUGUAUCAUUAUAUAGAAAUAUAGUUGGAAUACAAACUUGCAGUAAACAGAAGUCCUGUCUGAGCUAAGUAAUAUUUUUUAAUAUAUUUUCAGACUCUUGAGAGUUGUUUAACUGUUCUGUGGCAGUGUAAUUAAAAGCAGAGCAUUGUUUAGGGCAAAUGAGACUGUCCUCAUGAAUAACUUAUACUCUACAAGAGCUGACUUGGUGUCAGCAUAUAUAGAACAGCCAGAAAAUAAAGCCAUGGAUACCUCA